GGAGUUUGUGGUGCAUGUGCCAUUACCUGAUGAAAAGGAGAUUGAGAAGAUGGUAUUGGAGAAGAAGAAGAUGGAACUGUUGAGCAAGUAUGCGAGUGAUAUGCUUUUAGAGGAACAGAAUGAAGCCAAGUCCAUGCUUAAUAUACAGAGAUAGACUCCCAAAAAUCGCCAUAGAUUUGGUUAAUCUGUUUUCCUUACUUGAAUUUUCCAUGGCUAUGCAAUGCAUCAGAACUCCUCUAGUCAACUGACAAAUCAUACUUUAUAUUCAAACAGAGUGAUAACAAAGAUCGAGGU
rnacentral:misc_RNA from 1 species